rnacentral:rRNA from 1 species
UACAGAGGUCUCGAGCGUUGUUCGGAUUUACUGGGCGUAAAGGGCGCGUAGGCGGUCAGCACAAGUCAGUUGUGAAAUCUCCGGGCUUAACCCGGAAAGGUCAACUGAUACUGUGCGACUAGAGUGCGGAAGGGGCAAUCGGAAUUCUUGGUGUAGCGGUGAAAUGCGUAGAUAUCAAGAGGAACACCUGAGGUGAAGACGGGUUGCUGGGCCAACACUGACGCUGAGGCGCGAAAGCCAGGGGAGCAAACGGG